rnacentral:tRNA from 1 species
CAUUAGAUGGCUGAAAGUAAGUAAUGGUCUCUUAAACCAAUUAAUAGUAAUUAACACAUACUUCUAAUGA